GUCUUUUUGAUAAUAAUUUAAAGUCUGAUCUGCCCACUGAAAUUUUAAAUGGCUGCAGUAUUUUGACUGUACAAAGGUAGCAUAAUAAUUAGUUUUUUAAUUGAAAGCUUGUAUGAAUGAUUUGACGAGAAAAAAACUGUCUCUAUUUAAUUUAAUUAGAAUUUUAUUUUUAAAUAAAAAAGUUUAAAUGAAAUUUAAAGACGAGAAGACCCUAUAGAGUUUUAUAUUUUUAUUAGUGUAAGUUUUUUUAUUAAUAUAAUUUUUACUAUUAAGAAUAAUUUAUUGGGGUGAUAUAAAAAUUUAAAAAACUUUUUAUUAAUUUAAACAUUAAUAUAUGAAUAUAAGAUCCAUAGAUUAUGAUUAUAAGAUUAAAUUACCUUAGGGAUAACAGCGUUAUUUUUUUUAAGAGUUCUUAUCGAAAAAAAAGUUUGCGACCUCGAUGUUGGAUUAAAAUAAAAAAUUAGUGUAGAAGCUAAUUGAUUAGGUCUGUUCGACCUUUAAAAUUUUACA
rnacentral:rRNA from 1 species